GUGGGGAAUAUUGCGCAAUGGGCGAAAGCCUGACGCAGCGACGCCGCGUGGAGGAUGAGGCCCUUCGGGGUGUAAACUCCUGUUGCUCGGGACGAAUGCCCUACAUGGGUGGGGUUGACGGUACCGGGUGAGGAAGCACCGGCUAACUCUGUGCCAGCAGCCGCGGUAAUACAGAGGGUGCGAGCGUUGUCCGGAAUCACUGGGCGUAAAGGGCGCGUAGGUGGCAGGUCACGCGUGCCGUGAAAGCCCGGGGCUCAACCCCGGGUCGGCGGUGCGAACGGGCCAGCUGGAGCGUACGAGAGGCAGGCGGAAUUCCGGGUGUAGCGGUGGAAUGCGUAGAGAUCCGGAAGAACACCGGUGGCGAAGGCGGCCUGCUGGCGUACGGCUGACACUGAGGCGCGACAGCGUGGGGAGCAAACAGGAUUAGAUACCCGGGUAGUCC
rnacentral:rRNA from 1 species